AUCCCCUGGCUAUGGAUAAAGACAUCUGACUUGUGGUGCUGCUCUGAUAUCAGUCAGGGUCAAAGCAGACAUACAGUCUUUUGUUCAUCCUACUUUGAUGCCUGGGUUGGUGGCCAGAGCAAUUUCAUGCCUGGGGCACAUGA
rfam:Pteropus alecto contig29462, whole genome shotgun sequence.